UAUCUCUCCGUACGGGGAAGGAUGAGAAGCUUCGACUAAGGUUCGAUUCGAGCGAAAGCGAGAAAGCGUUGCCAACGGCAACGACCCGAAGGGCGAAGCGCGCAGCGCUGAGUCAACCUUCCCCCACCACGA
rnacentral:sRNA from 1 species